GGCUGCACUUGCAGCAUAUGGAAGUUUCCAGGCUAGGGGUUGAAUGAAAGCUACAGCUGCUGGCCUACACCACAGCCAUGGCAACACCAGAUCCGAGCCACAUCUGUGACUUACACCACAGCUCACAGUGAUGCCAGAUCCUUAACCCACUGAGAGAGGCCAGAGAUCAAACCUGCGUCCCCAUGGAUAUUAGUUGGGUUUGUUUCCACUGUGCCACAAUAGGAACUCCCCAAGUGAAUUCUUAUCAGAUUUUGAACCAUGGCCAUAAGUCUUUUGGUCAUUUAUAGAGAGUUACUAUCUUACAUUGAUACUUUUGCAAAAACGUUGCAUCUUCAGAGAGGAUCAUGGGAAAGACUCAGACAAGUACUCUGUAAUACAAGUUUCUGGAACUUUAAAACUAUAGAACUGGGUAAGACGUAUCCUGAGAGGGAUGACAUCACCUAGAUCGUGUUCAAACUGCAGAGGCACAACUGAAUCUAAUGAUGAGGAAAUAUUAGACAAACCCAAAUGAGGAAUCUUUUAUUAAAAAGAAGGGGGGGGCUAUAGUCUUCAAAAAUGCCAGUGUUAUAAAAGACAAAGAAAAGCUAUGAAAAUGUUACUGAUUGAAGGAGGCUAAAGAGCCAUGACACCAAAACACAGUACCAGGUGGGAUCUGUGUGCUAGAAGAGCCCCCCCACCAAAAAAAAAAUGCUAUAAAGAAUUCAUUGGCUUAAUUCACACUAUUGGAAUUCACACAGUAGAUUAAAGUAUUACAUCAAUGUUAGAUGACCUGAAGUUGAUAACUGUACUGUGGUUAUGUAAGAGAUUAUCACAGUUCUUAGGAAAUACACACUGAAAAGUUUAUGGGUAAAAGGCUAUAAUUUAUGUAACUUACCAUCAAACGAUUCAGGCAAAAGAGAGGAUAUUGACGCAAUUGCGGUAAAAUGUUAAUAAGUGAAUCUGAGUAAAAGGUAUACAGAUUAUUUUUGCACUAUUCUUAGAGUUGCAACUUUUCUGAAUGUUUGUAACUACUAAAAAAAGUUAAAAUAAUUUUAUAUACAUUUGCAAUAUUUUAUAUGCACAUAUACCAUAUAUUUAAAUACAUUUUUCUGUCAUUACAAACCAAAGUUUAAAAAUUUAUUCAUCUAUCAACUGCUAUAGAAAAACCACAGAACUAGGCCUCAAAGAGGAGAUGGAACAUGUCUCUGAGGUGCACCAAGAAUUAGAAAGCCUGGAAGCAGACCACAUGGCAACUUUGUAAUUGAUUGUGAUGUUUAUGGUGGGGAGGGGGAGGAAGGGAUCAAAAGGAGAAUGAGAAAGAGACUGGUGUGAAUAUCUUACCACAUCUAAGCACCCCAAUUAAGAUAUACAACACACUCUAGAUAAUAUAUAUGGGCUAUUAUACAUUUGACAUGUAGUGUAACUUAACCAUCUUAAAAUAUAUAUGAGUUUAUAAUCUGUGUAACAACUAAUGUAUUGUGGAGAUUUAAUAACACUCGAAGGUCACUAAAAAAAUAACAUGAUUUUAUUAAUUCCUGCUGGUCAAUUACAAUGCUCAUGACCAAAAGGCAAGAGAGUCUAGAUCCUAAUUAUAAGAAAGACUCUGUUACUGAUUAUCAAUCCUUCAGAAAAUAACCUGAAAACUGAGGUCUCUUUUUCCAUUCUGUAAGAAGCCGUGACAAUGAGACCUGUUUCUCAGUAUUGCUCUGAGGAGUAUCUUGUAGAAGAGUGUAAAAGACUUCGAUACCUUAGGAGUGCCUCUUAAAACUAAGUUAAUAAUGACACAGUGUCUCCGCUCCACACAACAGAACAAUCUUUGAAUGUAAAGGGUGGAGGGAAGGGGUGUUUUGAAGACCUGCUAACCAGAGGCAACAAAGAGCUUCAUGCAAUGUUAUAUGUGAACACAGUGACAGUAUUAUUUGGGGACAGAAUUCCUGAAGCGAUGUACGGCGUACCUAAGCCAAAUUAAAUACAUAAGGAAGCCAAGAAUCAAAACAGCUUCCAAAAGGUAGAUGAUCAAAUAGCCCCAGGAAGUUUGUUUCAGGUGCUUACCUAUCUCUCCGUUUCUCACCUCAAUGAUAAGAAGGAGAAAUGUAAAGGAAUUCUCAGAGUUUGACUCCUCACACCCUUUGCUUUUUCCUUUAAUCACUCUUCCUCCACCUCCCAGCCCCUGGUCCAUCUUCAGCAACACUAACUACAAUCUCUUUACGCUUACUUGACAUGGAGACCCAAGGCUGUCUGUCACCAAUGAGAACUACUUUGAGUUAUUCAAACUAAAACCUUCUCCUACUGUAAAAUAGCUGUCCCACUAAACUAAAAUUCUACCAAAUAGAAAUUAGUAUAUUUCACUUAGGGUGGUUUUGGCAAAAGUUGCAUGGUCCUGCAAGCUGCGGUUGGUUGGUAAUGACUUGUUGAGAAGGACUCUGGGGUAAGGGCUCCUCUGAGCUCAGUGCAGAGGAGGAUGUUGAGGGAUUAGUGAUAUCUAGAGUGGUUGGAUAAGCGAGUCGUGGGGGCAUUCCCAGGUCAGAUCUGACCUUGGAGGUACAUCUAGAAACCUUUUUAUUCAUGUGAUGUCCCAUCUCCAUGCAUCUUCAUAGGCUAUUUUAUCUACCUGGAAUACCCUUUCUCCUACACUGUUCCUUCAAGACUGUGUUCAAACUUUCCUUUCUCUGUGAAGCCUUCUCUACCUUCUCCACGCAUCUUCUGGAAUCACUAGAUUGUCAGCCUCUGGAAAUCUGGUUGCUAGUCUUCCACAGAGUCUCUGAGCACCAGCAGAGUGUCAGCACCAAAAGAAUAACGAGUAGGUAAUGUUCACUUUCAAGAAAAAUCACAAUCUAGUAGGGGAUAAGAAAAAAUAAGUAGUAUUUGAUACAGAAGUUUGAGUAUAAAAAAUGGCAGAAAAAGGACUCUUUUAGGAGGGUAAGAAAAAUUUUGGAAUAAGGUGAAGAAUCAUAAGGAAAUGGCAUUUGAGUGAUACCUUGACAAAUCGAUAAUAUUUGCCUGGGAGAGGUGGCAGCUAAUUUGGGCAGAUAUCUAUUUCCUCAUGAAAGGAGAUAGGAGAGGGAUAAAAAUACCCUCUAAAGUCAUUUUUAUCAUUUGUAACAAUGACAAUAUAAUACAGACUAGUUUAUGCUAUAAAACAGAUUCUUUUGUACUGAAUAGUCAGAGAGGAUGAGCAACUAUGUUGUAGAAGUUCAGAGUCAGAUUCCCAAGCCCACUCCCACCCCUACCCCUGGGAGCAGAGUCUAAUAGCAGAAAAACUAAAGAAUUACUCAAGCAAUGUAGGAAAAAGAUGGAGACUUGAUUAUGAAAAAUAAAUUUUCCUCACAUCCUAGUUUUUCUAAUUAACUCUGCCAUCAAGGUCUUGAUGAAUUAAGAUAUAAAAGUAGUGAACAUUACAGAGAGAGAGGAAUGGGAAUGCUAAGGGCAAGGUAUGGGAAAUCUACUAAAUGAGGAAGUCUUUCUGGAAUAAGAACCUCUGAUUCCAUAACUGCAGCCAGGGACCUUGGGAGGAAAAUGAUAACGGGGAUUAGAAAACUCAUCAUUUUAGAAAGGCAAACAUUUGGCCUCAAACUCUUCGGUGUGUGUCUUUGACUUUUUGCCUAGAGAUUUGGGACUCUGUUUUCUUGUUUGCAAAGUGGGAAUGCUGGUGGUUAUGAUGAUGAUGACAACUCAAGGGGCUCUUGUGGGGGUUAAACAAGCUAAUGCACCUAGUUGAGUGCCUUGCACAUAAUAGGACUUUAAUGUAUGGUGGCUAGUACUUUUGAAUGCCUACUACAAGCUAGACAUUGUAAUACAUGUUAUCUGGUAGUGUUCUCAACAUCUCUUUUAAUAGGUAUUAGGAAAACCAUACCAGAUGCCAUACUUGGUAAAUGGCAGACCUAGGCCUUAAUUUCUGGAUGGCUAGACAACAAAAUCUGUAGUGAUUCCAUUAUAUCAUGAUCCUUUACCUUGAAAAUAUUAGCCUUGAUUAUAGCUUUUGAGCUUCCAUUCAUCUUUGAGAAGAUACAAGAUGUCAUUCAUGAAUGUAUCUAUAGAUUUAACUCUACCAACCAUCAUUUUCCACAUCUACAAUUGGGAUAAACUGGGACCCUGAGAAGUAAGCCUGUAUUUUGCUGGGGUUUUUUUGUUUGUUUGCUUAUGGUUUUGGGUGCGUUUGGUUGUGUUUGGUAUAACUCUAGGAACCCAGAAAAAAGUUACUUAGAGAUGGUUCUGUCCUAAACUGAGAGCAGGAGCUCUUAAAGUUCUCAAAACUCCCUGACAUCAGUUUUGGCAAUAAUUGUUUGGGUUUGACACCAAAAGCAAAUGCAAACAUAAACUGGUGGGGCUACAUCAAACUAAAAAACUUCUGCACAGUGAAGGAAACUAACAACCUGAAAAGGCAAACUAUGGAAUGAGAGAAAACAGAGUAGAAAAGUGGUUGACAGGGGCUAGGGAUGGGGGAAAUGAGGAGAGGUUGGUAAAAGGGUACAUGAUUUCAGCUAAAACUGAAGAAGGGCUGAGGAGCAAAUUAUAACAUGCUGACUAUGGUGACAACACCUGCAUUGGAUUGGUGAAAUUUGCCAAGGGAAGAAAACUUGCAUGUUCACACACACACACACACACACACACACACACACACACACAAGUGAGAAAGAAAGGAAGGCAGGCAGAAGGAAGGCAGGGAGGAGGAAGGGAGGAAGGACGGGGAAACCCUAGCCAGAUCUAAAGAAUCAGAAACUGGAGGAGGAGGGCAGGCAACAAUCCUUGUUUUAACAAGACAUACAGGCAAUUCUGAAGUGAACUAAAAUUUGACCAUCACUAAUAUGAAGAAUAAACAGUAUGUAAUUCAGUUUUUGAUGGUGGCCUUCAUGUGUAAUGUAUUGGUAACUUUCACAUUUCUCUUUUGCUAAAUAGAAUAAAUGUUGGUUGAAAACGACUUAAGGGUGUCACUUAAUUUUUUUUUUCACUGACUUGAUUCUAAUCAGGAUAUUAAAUAUCCAUGCUAGAUGGGCUUUAUUAUUUAAGGAUUAUUUUUCCCAGAAAUAAGUGUUUGUUGUCAACAACAACCUAUUUCAGUGACUCUUUAGUCAAAAGUGUUUUUGUAUUUCUUUUUAAAAUGUGCAGGCUGAUAGAUGGCCUUUUGGGGGUUUUUUGGAUGCAAACUGUUAUAUCUGGAAUGGAUGGGCAAUGGGACCCUACUGUACAGCACAGGAAAAUGUGUGUGACUGUGUCACUUUGCUGUACAACAGAACUUGAGGAAACAUUGUAAAUCAACUAUACUUUAAUAAUUAAAAAAUAAAAAUAAAACAGGCAGGCUGAGGUAUAGAUAUUGUAAGUGUAAAUUCAGAACUUUCUAAUUUUAGUCUAACUUUGAAUAUCCUGAAAAAUUAUCAAAAUCUGUGUCCCAAAUUAUAGUUUGAUGGUUAUCACUAUUGACGUAGGGGGAAAUGUGGAAAUACCAAAUGGUUUAGAAUGUCAUCCUGAUAGUCUUUCAAAUUCCCCAGAAAGUUAUUUUGCCAGUGGUAACAUACAUCUUUUAGGGCGGCUGCCUGGCUCAGAACAUCCUCUAUAAACAAUUAUCACCCUUGUCACUCUAGCGCAUUGUCCUACCAAGUUGGAUUCUUUUUCCCACAGGUGAGGAAUCUGGUUUCAAAGAGGUGGACCAGUCUCUGCUAGCCUGCGGAGCUGAGGGUGUGUGAAUUCAGGAGCCAUGGGGUCUAGAGAAGCAGAGAAAGCCACUUAUUAGAAAGACGCAAUAGCCCAGACAUGCCAAGAAAAUAAAUGGGCUUGAGAAUGUGGAGAGAAAAAAUGAAUAUGAGCAAAUGCCAUAAUUCCUAGUGGCUUUCUGGUUCCUGAUUCUAAUCUUCUGUAUCACUUAAAGAAACAUCUUGUCUUUGGAUUCUUUGAAAUUCAUCUUUAUUCCAUAGAAAAAUCAUCUUUUCCCCCCCUUUAACCAAGUUUGAAAGAAAUUCUUUUAUUUCUAACUCAAAGUGUCUUGAUGAAGAUUACAGCCAAUGGGUGGAGGGUGGGGGUGUUCCUGCUUUAUUGAAGCAGCAGGAAAAAAAAUAGGAGUGACGCAAAUCUUAAAAUCGAAAUCCCCAGAGUCUACAUGGGAAAAGAAUCUGAAAAAGAAUGGAUGUGUGUACACGUAUAACUGGAUCACUUUGUUGUACAGCAAAAAUGAUCACAACCUUGUAAGUCAAGUAUACUUCAAUAAAACUUUUAAAAAAUUUAAAAAAGGAAAACAUUACUGAGUGGCAAAAAAAGAAAAAGAAAUGAAGUUGCUAUAGCAAUCAAAACAUCAUUUAACAGUGUCUGGGAAAGUUAUUUGUCUUGUCCAAUGCUUAAGCUGAAUCAAAUCGUUUAAGUGUCUCUUCAGUUAUA
rnacentral:lncRNA from 1 species